CUUACUUUAUUUUAUAAAAGAUCAGACUUAAACAGGGGAUAAAACCCAUCCAAAGACUGGGCUUUAAUAGUUAGAGAGACAGAGAGAAACUCGGACUCGGGACAGAGAGAUGCCAGAUGGCAGAUGGGGAUUAAGUCUAACUAAGAUUAGCUAAACUAACUUAGUCUCUAAGUCUAAUUCAAUAUCAUCCACCAAAGUCUUACUCGUUGAAAACACGAAUUAUUUGUCAAUUCAAAUCAACAUUGAUGUUGUGAUCUUACCGGGAAAAGGAGUCAAGGCUGGAAGGCAACUGAAGAAAAUCAGUAUUAACUAAAGAUCACUAAACUUACCUAACAACACAACAAAUACCAGAAGGGAAAUCUUCAGCAAAAAACAGAUACAUUUGAAUACAGUGUAACAUCUAAUUCUCUACACCCGUUAAUAAAUUAUUACUAUGAUACACUCUGAGAAGAAGUCGAGCUACUUCAACUGGACAAAUUAACUGAUUACUAGAAAUCUGAAGGAGCUGCUAAUGCCUCAACAUUGUCUCACAGUUUACAAACAGAACAGGUUUGUUUAAUGCCUAAAGUGAUAAUAUGCAAAAAUAUAAAACAUGUUCGGAAAAUUGUUCUUGCGGAUGAUUUCACAGAAAGCACUUUGUUUGACUAUUAUGAAAAUGAUGAUGACGGAGAUAAUGAUAAAGAUAUAGAAUGUGUACAUGUGUUGACUAAUAGUUCAUUUACCGAGUGUAUUGAUAAAUAGUCUGUUUAUCAAUAUAUGGAGUGUAUUGUUUAUCAACAUAUUGAGUGUACUGUUUAUCAACAUAUUGAGUGUAGGCUAUUGAUAAAGAAUUGGGUGAAAAAACAUAUUUAGUGUACUGAAAAAUAAUUUUUUAUCAACUUAUCGAUUGUAUUGAUAACUUUUGUUGAUCACCAUAUUGACUGCAUUAGAUAAAGUGUUAUAAACUUGUUGAGUGCAUUGAUACAUAUAGAGAAUCUCUUAUCAGUCUUUUUUAAUAUCAAAAAAUAUCAAAACAAGUUGAUAAAGUAACAAAAAACAAGGCUCUGCCGAGUUUUUUUUUACUUUAUCAACGAGUGUUGAUAUUUUUUGAUAUAAAAAAAGACUAGUAGGUGAUUUUAUUUAUCACCCAAUCCCUUCUUUUAAAAUUAUGUGUCUUAAAGAUACAUUAUGGGAGAUUUUAAUAGAGAGUUGGCCAUUCUUGCUGUAAAAGUCCAAAAAUAGAUGAUGAAAGAGGACUAUAUUGAAAAUUUCAGUCAAAUUACUUUAUUCUGAACAAAGUUAUCACCAUUGUAAUUUUUGACUAGAAAUAGGCGUCAACUCUCUCUUCGCCAUCUCAGAGAAUGGCCGAUCGUUUGAUUGACAGGCGUUAACUCCACCGACACAAGUUAAUAAGGUAACAAAAAACAAGGCUCUGCCGAGUUUUUUUUACUUUAUCAACGAGUGUUGAUAUUUUUUGAUAUAAAAAAAGACGAGUAGGUGAUUUAAUGUAUCACCCAAUCCCUUCUUACAUCCACAAAUAGAUAAAUAUAAUUCUUUGCUGUAGAUUUCACUUUUACUGAACAUUACGGCGUAGUGAUACAUCAUUUUUGACAGCAAUUCAACCAUUGCAAAGUCUUUUAUAUUGACCCAGUGUUUCCAUCAAGGUCAAUUGAAUAACAAUAGUUCAUUUUUAAUAAAAAAAAAAGUUACGUUUAAUAAGAAAUGAACUGUUCUUUGAAAAUAAAAAAAGUAGUUCCUUUUCUACUGACCAAUCAAAUUCAUGUAAAGCGAUAUCUCCUUAGGAGAUAUCGCAGUAGAUUAUGAAAUAUAUCACACAAGCGAUAUCUACUGUAGAAUGUAUUUGGAUGAUAAAAUUUAUUAAGUGUUAAGAAAUGUUUGUUUAUCAGCUUAUAGACUGUAUUGAUAUAGUAUUACAAACUUUUAUCAAUAUUACUGUAAAUAAUUUUAUGUUUAUUUUCUUAACUAUAGUGUGAAUAAUAUGUUCAUUUUAUCAACUAUAGUGUAUCAAGUGUAUUGUUAAAUUUUGUUGAUCACAAUAUUGACUGUAUUGAUAAAGUGUUAUAAACAUAUUGAGUGCAUUGAUACAUAGUUUAUUCAGUGUUAUGAAGUGUUUAUCAGCUUAUUGACUGUAUGUAUAAUUUUUUCAUUUAAUCAACUAUAGUGUACAUGGCGUAUUGCUCAUUAGUUAAAAUAACUUAUUGUUCAUAUGAACUAUAGUGUGAAUAAUUUAUUUCUCAUUUUAUUGAUUAUACUGUGAAUAAUGAUUUGCUCAUUUUAUCAACUAUAGUGAAAAUAAUUUAUUUUGCUCAUUUUAACAACUGUAGUGAAAUUAAUAUAUUGUUUAUUUUAUCAACUAUAGUGUGAUUGAUUUAUUGGCGAUUUUAUUUUGUUAACUAUAUUGUAGAUAGUUUAUUGUCAUUUUAUCAAUUAUGGUGUGAAUAAUUUGUUCAUUUUAUCAGCUAUAAUUUAUUGAUUGAUUAAUAAAAGGAUGUCGAUAUUA